rnacentral:tRNA from 1 species
GGGCGGGUAAGUUAAUUAAAACUACGGGGUUCAUGUCCCCGCAAUAUACUUUAUGUAUCCUGCUUA